CUGAACCUAUUUCAACAGUUCAGCAUGGCAACCUAGAUCAGUGGCCCUUGGUUAUUAUGCUAGUGAUCAUAUGAUGUAGUCCCUGGUUUUUUGUCAAUAUUCUUCUGCCACUGUGCCUCUGGCCUGAUUGGACUUCGGCCCUCGAGUUUGAACAGAGACUGUACUUCAAUGAGCUACCCAGAGCAAUGAACAGAAUGCUGACUAAUCUUGCCAAUAACCCUAAAUUGACAACAGAUUGCUGUAUCAUUAUUGCUUGAGAUUGAUACCAACCACUAUCGCAAUUGCCACUGAAUUAUUACUAAUUACUCAAUAUUCCAGAAGAUGAUGUCCCACCCGACCAUCUGCCAGCAGACUCACUUCCAUAUUUGCAAAGAUAAAGAUUCAAGAGAGGCAAGCAUCAGUUGAUUCUGGAGAACACUUCUCAACAGAAAAAAAAAAAAAAAAAAAUUUGAAGAAUAAAAACUGAUGAUAUUAACAAAUAAUCACAUACAUGGUCUGGUGAAGGUACAGAAGCAAAGGGAUCAUUUAUAUCCACCUUUAUUCUGGUUUUCCAAGAUCAAAUAUUUCCCC
rnacentral:sRNA from 1 species